rnacentral:lncRNA from 1 species
GGUUUUCCAGGCUUCCUGUGCUGUCUUGGGGACCUGCUCAGAGGCUGGACCGCGUCAUGCUCAGAAGGCUGCCUGGAAUUUGAAUGUGGUAUCUGGAGCUUCAGUAGUCAUCCAGGACUGUAAGUGUGAAAGCCAUGCACUGAGAGUGGUGGAACAGAAGCCCUGUUUUCUUUAGACGCUGACUCCUGCUGUCUACCAGAUCCUCGUGGUACAAUGACUGGUGUAGACUGGCUUGUUGAAGUCACUCUCUGGAUCUGAGCAACGCUGGCUGAGCCGUGAUGAAGUAUUCCUAUCCAUCCACUAUGCUUCACAGUGGGAAUCUCUCACUGUUCAUCACCGCUGCCCUAGCAGCCGCAGGGAUUCUUCACCCAUGGUUGCUUAGGUUUAUAAGCAAGGAAGCUGAAUGAAGUCCCUUUCCUCUCUGGAUGAGCCCCUGGGUUUCUGGAAGAGUCUUAAAAUCACCCCUAAAUGGCUUCCAAGCACUGAAGCCCGAGAUGUUAGCUGGCCUGUGUGAGGCCUUGAGACAGAAUGCCACAGCCACACCCCAAGGAUGCUGAAGGGGAUUUCCCUCCUCUGUGGUUUUUCUCCUUUCUUCCCGCAGCACUCCUCCUACGUGCUAACAUCUUCUAGUCAAACAACUCUCCUUUUCAAAGGGACCAGGCACAGUUUCUGCUUAUCCCUGAGUAGCAGUGUUCAGUUUCCUGCCAGCCUGUGGAGUUUUUCAAACAAGCCAAUCACCUCCUCCUGUGGGAACUGAGAAGCACCCCACCCUCUCGAUACUACAAAGCCCCUGCUUGUUCCCUAGUGCAACUCCCAUGUGGUCCUGUGGAGCAUAUGGUAUCUUCCUCUUCUGGGCAGUGAGCAUAUGUGACUAAUAAACUAUCUAUCUCAUCUGUUCAGUGCCAGGUGUCAUUUGUUCUGCCAUCCCAUGACCUAGGGUGGGGAUUCCUUCCACACCAACAGGGUGAAUGCAAGGUGAUUAAAACAAGAAGCCUCUUCAGGAUCUAUAUCCUAGGGAAAAAAUUAAACAACAACAACAAAACAAGAAGCUUCAACUCUGACCCUGUAUUCCAGAUGUGUUACAGGGGCCUGUCUCCCCAGAGCCACUCUCCAGGUCAGAGCUUACCUCCCCUUGCUCAGGGUUAGGAGCUCUGGGCAGGAAAAGGACAUCAUGUUAAAA